AUAUUGGUGCGAGACCGAUAGCGAACAAGUACCGUGAGGGAAAGAUGAAAAGAACUCUGAAAAGAGAGUUAAAGAGUACCUGAAACUGCUGAAAGGGAACCGGAUCGUUUCUAGUGUCUAUAAUCCGUGACAUAUUUCAUUGGGGAGUGUGUGCGUGUGUAUACUAUGGCAGUGGCUUUUUUGGCUGCGCUUGGUGUGCGUGCUGUAUGCGCUUACUGGUGCCCUGUGUUGCGGUGGGACGUCAAGGUCGGUUUGUAUACUGCGGGAAAUGGCUACUGAGGAGGUAGGGCUUACGCUUGCGUUUGUCUAUUAUAUCUUGGUAGUUGUGUCGUGGUUGAGACUGAGGUGUUCUACAACGUGCUUUUGAGUGGGACUGUGUCUCCGUGUGCACCGUGUGCGGAUAGCUUGCUAUGUGUGUGUGGUUGUAUGUGGAUUGAUGCGGGCUUUAACUUGUAGCCGUUCGGGACGUUGACGAAAUAGAGCGAUUUGACCCGUCUUGAAACACGGACC
rnacentral:rRNA from 1 species